CUACAGGGAUGAUCUUAGGAACUCUCUCUUUCCGAUGGACUAGUGGGGAAAACAUUUAAAAAUUCUGAGUAGC
rnacentral:snoRNA from 1 species